AGACAAGGCAUCCUCAGAGACUGUGCUCCAUACCAGUUGUUCCUGAAAAAAACUCUUUGGCUGAGUGCUCACCACAUAGCUGAGGUUGGUCUCAAACUCAUGGCUAUCCUCCUGCCUCGGAUCCUCCAGUGCCUUCAUUACAGGCAUGUGCCACAUGGCACAACUUGGCCGGUUGUUUUGUUUUGAUUUUGGUACUGGGGAUUGAGCCCACAGCUUUGCGAUGCUAGAAGAGAACAGGAAACAGAAGUGGGGCCUGAUACAGAACUGCAACUCCUAUUAAUGGCCGUGAAGUGCCCAGGAUGUCAUAAAAUCAACCCAGUCUUCAGCCAUAAACA
rnacentral:lncRNA from 1 species